rnacentral:rRNA from 1 species
CCUACGGGGGGCAGCAGUGGGGAAUAUUGGACAAUGGGGGCAACCCUGAUCCAGCCAUGCCGCGUGUGUGAAGAAGGCCCUCGGGUUUUAAAGCACUUUCAGUGAGGAAGAACGCCUGGUGGUUAAUACCCAUCAGGAAAGACAUCACUCACAGAAGAAGCACCGGCUAACUCCGUGCCAGCAGCCGCGGUAAUACGGAGGGUGCGAGCGUUAAUCGGAAUUACUGGGCGUAAAGCGCGCGUAGGUGGCUUGAUAAGCCGGUUGUGAAAGCCCCGGGCUCAACCUGGGAACGGCAUCCGGAACUGUCAAGCUAGAGUGCAGGAGAGGAAGGUAGAAUUCCCGGUGUAGCGGUGAAAUGCGUAGAGAUCGGGAGGAAUACCAGUGGCGAAGGCGGCCUUCUGGACUGACACUGACACUGAGGUGCGAAAGCGUGGGUAGCAAACAGGAUUAGAUACCCCUGUAGUC